UACAGAGGGUGCGAGCGUUAAUCGGAAUGACUGGGCGUAAAGGGUGCGUAGGCGGCAGUACAAGUGAGAUGUGAAAGCCCUGGGCUUAACCUAGGAAGUGCAUUUCAAACGGUACAGCUUGAGUAUGGGAGAGGGUAGCGGAAUUUCCGGUGUAGCGGUGAAAUGCGUAGAUAUCGGAAGGAACGCCGAUGGCGAAGGCAGCUACCUGGCCCAAUACUGACGCUGAGACGCGACAGCGUGGGGAGCAAACCGG
rnacentral:rRNA from 1 species